CCUACGGGAGGCUGCAGUGAGGAAUAUUGGUCAAUGGACGAGAGUCUGAACCAGCCAAGUAGCGUGAAGGAUGACUGCCCUAUGGGUUGUACACUUCUUUUAUAUGGGAAUAAAACAGGGUAUGCAUACCCUCUUGUAUGUACCAUAUGAAUAAGGAUCGGCUAAAUCCGUGCCAGCAGCCGCGGUAAUACGGAGGAUCCGAGCGUUAUCCGUAUUGUUUGGGUUUAAAGGGAGCGUAGGUGGAUUGUUAAGGCAGUUGUGAAAGUUUGCGGCUCAACCGUAAAAUUGCAGUUGAAACUGGCAGUCUUGAGUACAGUAGAGGUGGGCGGAAUUCGUGGUGUAGCGGUGAAAUGCUUAGAUAUCACGAAGAACGCCGAUUGCGAAGGCAGCUCGCUGGACUGCAACUGACACUGAUGCUCGAAAGUGUGGGUAUCAAACAGGAUUAGAUACCCUAGUAGUC
rnacentral:rRNA from 1 species